rnacentral:rRNA from 1 species
UCCUACGGGGGGCUGCAGUGGGGAAUUUUGGACAAUGGGCGCAAGCCUGAUCCAGCCAUUCCGCGUGAGUGAAGAAGGCCUUCGGGUUGUAAAGCUCUUUCGGCAGGAACGAAACGGCGGGCUCUAACAUAGCCUGUCAAUGACGGUACCUGAAGAAGAAGCACCGGCUAACUACGUGCCAGCAGCCGCGGUAAUACGUAGGGUGCGAGCGUUAAUCGGAAUUACUGGGCGUAAAGCGUGCGCAGGCGGUUUGGUAAGACAGAUGUGAAAUCCCCGGGCUUAACCUGGGAACUGCGUUUGUGACUGCGAGACUCGAGUGUGGCAGAGGGGGGUGGAAUUCCACGUGUAGCAGUGAAAUGCGUAGAGAUGUGGAGGAACACCGAUGGCGAAGGCAGCCCCCUGGGUUAACACUGACGCUCUUGCACGAAAGCGUGGGGAGCAAACAGGAUUAGAUACCCGGGUAGUCAA